rnacentral:rRNA from 1 species
AGAGUUUGAUCAUGGCUCAGAGUGAACGCUGGCGGCGUGCCUAACACAUGCAAGUCGAACGAGAACGGAUAUAAGUUUACUUAUAUUGUCAGCUAAGUGGCGCACGGGUGAGUAAUAUAUAGUUAAUCUGCCCUGAAGAAGAGAAUAAUUGUUGGAAACGACUUGUAAUGCUCUAUAUGCCUUUAUCACAUAAGUGAGCAAGGGAAAUAUUUAUAGCUUCGGGAUGAGACUGUACGGUAUCAGCUAGUUGGUGAGGUAAUGGCUCACCAAGGCUAUGACAUCUAACUGGUUUGAGAGGAUGAUCAGUCACACUGGAACUGAGACACGGUCCAGACUCCUACGGGAGGCAGCAGUGGGGAAUAUUGCACAAUGGAGGAAACUCUGAUGCAGCAACGCCGCGUGGAGGAUGACACAUUUCGGUGCGUAAACUCCUUUUAUUAGGGAAGAUAAUGACGGUACCUAAUGAAUAAGCACCGGCUAACUCCGUGCCAGCAGCCGCGGUAAUACGGGGGGUGCAAGCGUUACUCGGAAUCACUGGGCGUAAAGAGCAUGUAGGCUGAUUAGUAAGUUGGAAGUGAAAUCCUAUGGCUCAACCAUAGAACUGCUUCCAAAACUGCUUAUCUAGAGUAUGGGAGAGGUAGAUGGAAUUUCUGGUGUAGGGGUAAAAUCCGUAGAGAUCAGAAGGAAUACCGAUUGCGAAGGCGAUCUACUGGAACAUUACUGACGCUGAGAUGCGAAAGCGUGGGGAGCAAACAGGAUUAGAUACCCUGGUAGUCCACGCCCUACACGAUGCACACUAGUUGUUGCU